rnacentral:rRNA from 1 species
GAUCCUGCCGGAGGCUACUGCUAUCNGGGUUCGANUAANCCAUGCGAGUUAAAUGUUCUUCGUGAACAUAGCGAACUGCUCAGUAACACGUGGAUAACCUACCCUUUAGGACCGGAAUAACCCCGGGAAACUGGGGAUAAUACCGGAUAAGCCAUAGACGCUGGAAUGCCCUAUGGUUCAAAGNUCCGGCGCCUAAGGAUGGAUCUGCGGUCUAUCAGGUUGUAGUGGGUGUAACGUACCUACUAGCCGACGACGGAUACGGGUUGUGAGAGCAAGAGCCCGGAGAUGGAUUCUGAGACACGAAUCCAGGCCCUACGGGGUGCAGCAGGCGCGAACACUUUACAAUGCGGGAAACCGCGAUAAGGGAACCCCGAGUGCCAGCAUCAAAUGUUGGCCGUCCAGAUGGUUAAAAAUCAUUUGUUGGCAAGGGCCGGGCAAGACCGGUGCCAGCCGCCGCGGUAACACCGGCGGCCCGAGUGGUAGCCGUUUUUAUUGGGUCUAAAGGGUCCGUAGCCGGCCUGAUAAGUCCUUUGGGAAAUCUGACAGCUUAACUGUCAGGCUUCUAAGGGAUACUGUCAGGCUUGGGACCGGAAGAGGUAAGGGGUACUCCAGGGGUAGGAGUGAAAUCUUGUAUUCCCUGGGGGACCAUCUGUGGCGAAGGCGCCUUACCAGAACGGGUCCGACGGUGAGGGACGAGAGCUAGGGGAGCAAACCGGAUUAGAUACCCGGGUAGUCCUAGCUGUAAACGAUGCUCGCUAGGUGUCAGACACGGUGCGACCGUGUUUGGUGCCGCAGGGAAGCCGUUAAGCGAGCCACCUGGGAAGUACGGUCGCAAGGCUGAAACUUAAAGGAAUUGGCGG